rnacentral:lncRNA from 1 species
GUAGCAAGAGAAGAAAGGGGAAAACCCUUAAGCUUAACGAAUUCAGCAAAUUGAAGAUGAUUUAAGGACAAAUUCGAAUGCAUGUCUUUAAUUUCUCAAUCAUCUAAGGGCGAAGAAAGAAGAAGGUACAAGUCAAUCCAAGGCACUAGGAACACGAGAUCACGGUAAAGCCGUACUUUAAACGAGCGCUACACUCGGAACGAACACACUCCAUGAUGCCCUUUACGCGCUUCCGGUUUACGUUUAGUGUCAAUGGGUCAAACUACUUUCGAUUGUAAAUGUUGUUUUAAAUGUUUAUGUCUUUUAUAAGUAAGUUUAAAGU